rnacentral:rRNA from 1 species
GAUGAACGCUGGCGGCGUGCCUAAUGCAUGCAAGUCGAGCGAACGGACGAGAAGCUUGCUUCUCUGAUGUUAGCGGCGGACGGGUGAGUAACACGUGGAUAACCUACCUAUAAGACUGGGAUAACUUCGGGAAACCGGAGCUAAUACCGGAUAAUAUUUUGAACCGCAUGGUUCAAAAGUGAAAGACGGUCUUGCUGUCACUUAUAGAUUGAUCCGCGCUGCAUUAGCUAGUUGGUAAGGUAACGGCUUACCAAGGCAACGAUGCAUAGCCGACCUGAGAGGGUGAUCGGCCACACUGGAACUGAGACACGGUCCAGACUCCUACGGGAGGCAGCAGUAGGGAAUCUUCCGCAAUGGGCGAAAGCCUGACGGAGCAACGCCGCGUGAGUGAUGAAGGUCUUCGGAUCGUAAAACUCUGUUAUUAGGGAAGAACAUAUGUGUAAGUAACUGUGCACAUCUUGACGGUACCUAAUCAGAAAGCCACGGCUAACUACGUG